AAACAUUUAAUGGUUAUAUUUAGAUUAAAUGUUCAAUAUUAUAAUUUUACUUCGUCUUUUCUUCCUAUACUAUGGCUAAUUUUCUACUUAAAUUUACUUUAUUUUAUUUUAUUUAUAUAAAUAAUAUAUAUGUAUGUAUUGAAAUAUUAUCUCAACAAUGCACAAACUUUUGUCACACGACCGUUUUGCAUAAUAUUAUACGGUCUGCAGGUCUUAAAGCGACAGUACAACUGACCUUGUUAAGAACAAAUUCGUUUCAGAGCUCUCUCAAACAUGUUCUAUCGUUUCUACUGCUUCACUAUAACUGAACUUUAGAGUCGUUCCUGAUAUGCAAGUGCUGACUCGUGUAGAAAUGAAGGCUUCCGCAAAUGAGUUGAAAUUCAGCACAAAAUGAAAAAUAAUUAUAAUAAAAUAUGACCGUAAUGGUUUACAAAUCCUAUUCAUAAUGAUUUCCUUUUAAUUCGGAACUCUAUUACGAGUGAAGAAAGCCUUUUAAAGUAAACCGGACCAAAGCAAAAAUUGGCUAGUAAGUAUCCUACAAAAUUUCCUCUAAAUUUAAAAUUCUAAGGCAAAUAGAAUUUAAACAAAAAUACUAUUCUACACAGAUGGUUGCUUAUAAAUAAUGUUGCUGGCAAUGUUAUUUCGAUACAUUAUUAUCCUAAAGUAACACGUGAAAUGUGCAGGUCUGAGAAUAAAAUAUAUAAUUAUAUAAUUCACGUUAAGCAGUCAUUCAUUUAUAUUGUUAUAUAAGCGCGAUAAACUACAUUUCCUGUAUCUUAGCGUGUAACACUUUGAACUUUGAACUAAAAAGGAAGGAAAUCAAUUCAUUCUAUACAAUAUCGAUCAGAUGCAAAUAUGUAUUACGUUUAGAAUCAUCCAAACUAUUAUUUGCAGUCAUAUAUGCAAUUAAUCUUUUACUGACAGUGCAAUGUAACGCCAACGCCACGUUAAAGUGAAUGUUGUCGAUAAAACUUUUUGACUAACAUUUAAAAUCAACGAAUGUUGUUUUCCUUAGGUACGUAGAUCUAUUGAGUCAGAGUCAUAGAUCAGAGUUUCUGUAGAUAGCGCAAGCAUUUUUCUACGAUAAUAUUAAAUAUAUUUCGCAAAUCUAGAUACAGAAAAAAAAAAGAUACAAAGAUGUGAAUAAUAAAAUAAAUAUAUAAAAUAUAAGAAAUAAAACACAUGUUACAAUAUUUAGAAGACAAACCAUACUUGAAUUUACGUUUCUGUUCUCCAUGUUCUGAUCUUCAUCCGAGUACACAAAAAUAUGAACUUGUAUAAACAUUCGUAGUCUAUUUAUAAUAUUUCAAGCCCUCAUUUGCAUGUAGAGCCAAACAUAAUCCGUUGCUACUAGCGCGAUGUAUGUAGCACCAACGUCACGUUCAAUUGAGUGGUUUCACUAACAAAACUCUCGUAGCAUUUAAAAUCAGCAAAUGUCGCUUUCCUUACAUAGAUCAAUUAACGUCCACGGUGUCUAUACAUAGCGCGAGCCUGCGGUAAUCGCGCAACAUAACAGAGUAAAGAAACGUAACUGCAUAAGUAUGCAGCCAACAGUCAUUCGUACUUUCACCAUCGGUCGUGGGUGUAGUUUUGCAAACUUAUCUUGCUCGCGUAUGCAAUUAUCCCUUUUGUUUCGAGUACUCAGCUGUUCUGCAUUGUUAUUAAAACAGACCCUGGACAUUUCUGUAACGACAUCACGAAAGGAGCCUGUGUUAAUAUCCAUUUCUGGUCGCCUAUUGUCGUCUUAAUAUCGUCGAGGAUAAGUGACGAUGUCGAGUUGUUAUUUCACGAGGAAUCUCAACUAUUUCCAGAGGAAUUUCGUUCAAUUUAAUUAAAAUGGAGAAAACUUGUGCUUCUUGGAUAGUUAUGGCAGCAUACGUAUUGCCCACCUGUGUCAUCUCAAAAUUGUCAAGGACAAGCGAGUGUGUGGAGUUGCCACAAGGCGAGAAUAUUAACUACAUUCAUCGGUAAUUUCGUUGAAUUCGAUUAAAAUGAAAAAGUCUCUUACUUCACGUCACAAAACUGGCUACUGCCAAGCUUUGUCUAUCGAGAACAGCACUCGCAGCAAUUUUGCAUUUAUUCUAGGCAUAGUUGAGCUGACCGCUUGUGUCAUCUCAAAAUUGCCAAGGACGAGAGAGUGCGUGGAGUUGCCAUUUCACGAGCCGAGAAUGUUAACUAUUUCCACCAGCAAUUUCGUUGAAUUCGAUUAAAAUAAAGAAGACUCUUGCCUCGCACCACAAAACCGGCUUCUGCCAAUCUUUCCCUACUACAAAAAAUAAAGUACGUGCUACAAUUUCACAUUUGUCGAUAGACAUAGUUAUGGCGGCAUACGUCUCUGCCCACCUGUGUCAUCUCAAAAUUGUCAAGGAUAAGUGACUGUGUCGACUUGUUAUUUCACAAGGCGAGAAUAUUAACUACAUUCAUUUCGUUGAACCUGAUUAAAAUGAAAACUCACGCUUCACGUAACAAUACUUAUCUCUGCCAAACUGAUUAUUAAAAGCAGCACGUGGUACAAUUUUAAAUUUGUC